AAUGUGGGAUUUAUAUCUCAACACGCCCCCGCACGCAUGUGUGGCGAAUCUUCAAGUCAUACACGUGGACAACUAUUUGGGUGAUGUGGUGUUUGUGUGGCCAUUAGGCUUCACACGUGGACGUGGGUAACCCACUCUGAUACCAUGAUAAAGUAGUCUAGGGUUCACAUCUAAAACCAAUUGGUAAUGGAUGAAGUCGGCUCAAACCCUUAUAAACCCACAGAUAAGGUCUCAUAUUUCCAAUGUGGGAUUGAUAUCUUAACAGUGUGGGAUUGAUAUCUCAACAGUACAUGUGCACAAAUAUUCAACUCCGCCCUCGUGAUGAGUGAAUACACAUGAUUAUUUAAGUGAAAUACGACAUUAUUAAUUAUCACCGGUGCAUUAUGAUUAACUUUCUACAGACUACAUGAUGUUGAUGAGUUUCUAUUGGAUUCUUGUAUGAUUGAAGAGCGGAGUUCAGCUAGUCAUUCAUUUUUGACAACACCAAUCGAUACAUUUCUAGCAUAAGAAAACUUAAUAGCUAGUUAUUGCGGACUGGGGCUAUCAGGCUUUGAGCAAUAAUAAUGUACAUGACUACAUGUGGUUGCGAGCAUGCUCACAGUGUUAAUUAGGUGACUAUUGUAUCACGAUAUUUAUUUUGGUUCUUGAUUGGGUAUGGUAUGUCUGAUGGCAUUGGUCCGAAGGACACAGAAGAAUGAGAUACGAAGGAGUCAUGCAACCCUUAAGCAGCGAUGACUCUAGAUUACUUAGAAGAUGUCCAGUUACUAGGUAGCUGGAAUUGACUUGAAUGAGUUUGAUCAGAAAAAAAAAAAAAUCAAUGCGAUCUUACUGAAUCCGUGAGAAAGAUAAACUCGAUCUUAUAUUGAUAAAAUCAUGUUGAACUUAUAUGGUUCAACACAGAAACAAAAGCAAUGUUGGAAUACAGAAAAUAGAUAUAUGUAGUACUCAUACACGCUUAGGUCUCCCUUGAAUCAUUUCACUUUGGUUUCGAACCUUCCCUCCUGCUCCAUGCUACUGACUUUGUUUGAUAAAGCUUUUCGGUUUUUCUGAAGCUCAGUCGGGAGUUUAACGUCAGUUGCCAAACCAACCAUUUUAAGAAACCUUAUCAAAUACCAAGUAAUAUCGAUUUGCCACCAUUCGAAACCAUGUUGAGCUGAGUACUCAAAAGCAUGGUGAUUAUUAUGCCAACCUUCUCCAUGAGCUAGCAAUCCAAACAACCUAAACCACACAAUUUCAUAAUUAGAUUUCAUUACAUGUAGAGAAACAGAAACUAUAUAUAUAUACGAUUUGUAAUCAUAUCAAGUGCGUAUACCAGUUGUUUUUGGACAGAUCACCAGUAUCCCAUACUUGGUUUCCCCAUAUGUGGCAGAUCGAAUUUAUCGAAAGUGUUAUAUGGAGAACAAAUAUUGUUCUCACAGCCUACAAAUAAUCAAAAGAAUUAAACAUAGUUACGGAUUUGUUAAAUAGAAAGGACGAUGCAUUUAGAUAUUAGCAAAUGUAUAUAAGAGAAGUUUAAUUACCAGUGCCCAAACUAAAUAAGGCAUUCCUCCUAUGCAAUAGAACACAACUCCACAAGCAAUACAGUGAAAAGGGUAAGUGUAAUGAAGAAACCUAUAGAAGCUUUGUUUCUUCAAAUCUCCAACAUUGUAUAGUUUUCCAUCAUACUGCACAAUUUCAAAUUUAAUUAACAAUAAGUACGUGUUAAUUCAACAACAAAAUUAGGCAUGUAAUUAAUCAAGUGAGGAGAACAUGAGAUUUCUACGUACACUCCCAAAACGUUUACGAAAAUCAAAAAUCCAGCCAAUAUGACUAAACCAGAAACCCUUAAGAGGAGUAUGAGGGUCACUCGGCGUGUCUGUAAACUGGUGAUGACUCCUGUGCGAGCUAACCCAUUCUAAUGGACUUCCCUGUAAUAUAAACACCAAAAACCAACUUCAAAACUUUGUAAUGAAGAUUGUAGUAACUAAAAGUGAAAAGAAUGAAAGCUAGAGAAUAUAUGAUGAACCUGAAGUGAAUGAACGGCACAAUAGGCGAAGAAGUAUUCCAGCCAUUUGGGAAGCUUGAAGCUUUUGUGGGCGAGAUUUCUAUGGAAAGAUAGAGUUACUCCCACACCGGUGACAAAGUAAAGGGCUACACCCAACCAAAACGCAGACCAGGUGAAGUAAAAUGGUGCGAGAAGAGCAAUGAGAUGAACAACAGAAAGGGUGAUGACACUAGCGAUGUCGACGCCAUUCCAUUGCCUGCCCAGAAAAUAUAUCGGCUUCUGCACCACCCAAGGUAGCCCUGCCAUCUUCUUUAAGCUAAGCUUAUAUUAUCAAAACUGCUUUGCUAGCUUCUCUCUUCUGUAGUUGUGUGUAGAAGUAUCACUGUUUGCACACACAUAUAUAUAUAUAUAUAUAUAUAUAUAUAUACACAUAUAUACUACUACUAUACUUACUUCUUCUACUCUACUACUCUCUCUCUCUCUCUCUCUCUCUCUCUCUCUCUCUCUCUCUCUCUCUCUCUCUCUCUCUCUAACUCAAACAAUUUGAAUACUUUUGUUUAGUCGAUCUCUCUCUCUCAUCUUAUCGAUAUGUCAUUUUCUUAUCAAAAUUGAUCUCGUUGCAAGAAACUAAUUCUUCUUAUAUGCUCAAUCUUCUCACUCCUCUCACAUAGUAGGUGAAUAUUCUAAUUCAAUUCAGUUCAAAGUCUACUAGUAUCAUGAGUUAAGUCUACCAGUAACAUGAGCAAACUGACAUUAAAAAAUAGACUUUCUGAAAAAUUAUUCUUCAUAAGAUGCAAAGUCUACUAGUAACAUGAGUUAAGUCUACCAGUAACAUGAGCUAACUAGCAUACAACAAUAGACUUUCUAGAAAAUUGUUCACUCCUAAUACUGGUCACUAGUCAUCAAUCACCUUAUUGACCACGUUGUCUAACUUGUUUUCUUUUAUGUCUGUGUUUUGCACUAUUCACGCAAUAGCAACAUACACGGCUUAAAACAGACAAAAUACACGCUCAUGGUAGCGUUUAGUGAAUUUUCAAACAUUGACUAUAUAUAUGCAGUUGAUCUGCUCAUAUUAUCCUAUAUUUCUAAGCCUCUUAUGUUUGAGAGUUGUGUUUAGUUCUCUUCUUUAUAAAUUAUUUACAUUAUUUUAUUGUUUUUGUAGGUUUGUGUCGUAGAGAGAAGAAAAUGAGCUAAAAUGCGCAAAUAAGGAUUGAAAGGCCACUGCAAUCCUAAGUCUCAGAAUCCGCCUAUGCAGAACAUCCAAACUUCUCCGAAUUACCGGGAAUUACUCAGAUCAAAUCAGACUAUGAGCCUUAUAUCAUUGGAAAGCUACAUAUGUCUACUUUUUGUAGAAGUUUACGGAUCUCAAUUUCGAUACUUCUAGACCGAGUUAUGAUAGUUUGAAUGAAGAUAGGUCAGAUCAGAAAAUCUGCUCGGAUUUGCAAGCAUUUGUGGAGAACUUAAGUUCCAUGGCACAAGAUCAUCAACUCUUAUGCUUCAAGGACAAUAAUGCAGAUGAAGAUUCAAGGAGUAAAUGUAUUCCUAGUUCUAUAAUAGAUAUCUCAAGGUUUUCUCAUUCCAUAUCAAUAAUGGAGUCUGAAUCCAAGUCUUACAAAGAAACUUGAAGCCAAAGAUGAGCAAGAAAUCUCCCCUAUAUAAAGAGCACGAAUUUCAUAGAGAAGGGGCUUCCGGGGACACAUGACAUAUUUGGAAGCUGCCAUCAUCACCAACCUUUCAUUCUUUUUCCCUUUUAGCCUUUUUAUGUUUUUCAUUGUUAUCAUCAUGUUUGUUAUGACUCUUAGUAGCUAAAUCUUUUGUUAGGGUCAUAAUGGAUUAUUAGCAUGACUAUUUGAUGUUUUCAGUUGGAUGAUUACUUAUUUAUUGGAUUGAGUUUUUAAUCUCUAUAAGAAUUGUUGCUUAUUUUAAAAUACUAGAGACUUGCGACCUUUAAGGUUUUGUUUUAAGCUAUCUGAUGCAAGAGUAGGUAGAUGCCCAUGCUGAAUCUUGAAUGCUUCUUGUGAUUAAAAACCAUAGAUUGAUAAGAUAGAUGCCAUGUUUUAUUGGUUUGUGCGAGUCUUUUUGUUGUCGUCGAACUUCAUUGACCCUUAGAGAUUAGAUGUCAUACUUCUAAGAAUAGUUGGAUAUUAUACUCUACCAUAAGGUAGUAUUCAUGUCUUGGAGAACUUAUGUGUAUAAGUACUCUGCCAUAAGACUUAUAUGACUGGUUUUUCAACACCGGUUUAGUAGUUAGUAAUCGGAAGACUAGGAACUCAAAUAUAUAUGAUUGUGACAGUGAAGUUAGAAGCCCUAGCAUUCAUCCAUCAUUGUUUUACAACUUUUCAAAACAUUUUCUCAAUUAUCUUGUGUGACAUUCUCAAUUUGCUUGAUUUACUCUUUUCUUAUUGUAUACAAAAAUCACAAAAAUAUCUUCUUGUUUUCUUGUUAGUCGUUAGAGUAAUUUGGUCAUUAGUUAGAGUUGAAAGUUAGUUAUCUAUCCCUAGUUGGAACGACCUCGUAUUUGCAUAUAAGCUAUACUACAAACGAUUCGUGCACUUGCGAAGUUUUUAAAAUUUGACAACAGCAGUGUUCUAAAACAAGGUUGCCUAGGCGGCUUUUAGACGUUUUAAGUCUGCGCUUCAUCCUGAAAGCGCCAGUGAAUUUUCAAACCUUACUUGUACCAGGUUUUAAAUUGUAUAGUUUGUCGAAUCACCAUUUUAAAAUAACUUAAAGCUGGCAAAAAAACUAGCUAGAUGUGUUGGAAACUUUAAAUUGAGUAUUCUCAUGCUCGAUCCAUAAUUUUUUAAACACUAGUAGUCAAAUUUCUUCUCAAUCCUCCGAUCUCCUUGAUUACACCUUGGACAAAGUUGGAUGACAUCUUUUACAUAGUAUCGACAUGGCUUGUACACCGCAAAUUGAAUAAUAUAUUUAUGUAUUUUUAAUACAUAAAAAAUAUACUAAAAUAUGAAAUAAGUUCAUUACAUUGCCAAAAUUAUGUUCUAAAUUCAAUCUUUUUUUUCUUCUUUUUUGUCUAAAUUCAACACAUUGCAUAAGCAUAUUAAAAUAACAUUAAAGAGAAUUAAAUGGAAGUUAUUAAAGAGAAUCAAAUGACUAGUUCCGAUAUAUGUUGUAAAAAAAUUAGACAUCAACUUAAUAACACAACAACCCUCUAACACCUAAUAGACAAGAAAAUUUCAAUCAUUCCAUAAUUCAUCUAAACAUCUCUUUAUAAACUGUUAUAAACAUGAACGGUUUGAGUUCGACAAAAUUAUGUUCAUCCAUUGGUUUAAUCGAAUUUGAGUGCCUUAAUGAUAACCAAAUUAGCUGAAAUUUUGCAGAGAUGAUUUAUACGAGAUGUGAAAAUUCGAUUAAAAAGUAAGUGUAAAGCGGAAAUCCGCACAGUAAGAAUAAAUAAAGACCUCCUUAACCAAGAAAGCCUAUAUAUAUAUUAAAAAUUGAUGACGUGAUGUGUCGGAGGUUGAGGUGGCGUGUUGGACACGUGUCGGGCCGUGUCGGAGGUGUGUCGCCGUGUCAGGCGUGUCGGACACUCCGACACUCCAGAGGUGUGAAGUGUUCGUGCAACAUAGCUUUUAACUAUGAUUUUCAUAUCUAAAGUUGUUCUAGGACUCUAGGAGGUUUUCUUUGUAAUUUAUAUGGUAUUUUUCUUAUAUAUUAACUGAAAAUAAUUAAUUUAAGGAAAAAAUAAUUUACUAGUAGAAUGUAACAAUAAAAUCAAUGUUAUACCAUCAUAUAUAUAUGAACCUAUCUUCUAGUGUCGGAUAAGGGAUCUAUGAACUCUCCAGUACGUAUGAGACUGGAAAAUUGGUCACAGCGAUCAUGGAGACUCUAAAACUGACACAAUGCCAAUAAAGAUGAUAGAAUAACGUCGGUAUACCAAACGGCUAAUGAGUGAAUACACGUGAUUAUUUAAGCAAAAUACAACAUUAUUAAUUAUCACCGCUGCAUUAUGAUUAACUUUCUACAGAGUACAUGAUGUUGAUGAGUUUCUAUUGGAUUCUUGUAUGAUUGAAGAGCGGAUUUCAGCUAGUCAUUCAUUUUUGACAACACCAAUCGAUACAAUUCUAGCAUAAUAACUUAACAUAUAGCUAGUUAUUGCGGACUGGGGCUAUCAGGCUUUGAGCAAUAAUAACGUACAUGUGGUUGCGUGCAUGCUCACAGUGUAAAUUAGGUGACUAUCUAUCACGAUAUUUAUUUUGGUUCUUGAUUUGGUAUGGUAUGUCUGAUGGGUCCGAAGGACACAGAAGAAUGAAGAUACGGAGGAGUGAUACAACCCUUAAGCAGCGGUAACUCUAGAUUACUGGUUACUAGGUAGCUGGAAUUGACUUGAAUGAGUUUG
rnacentral:lncRNA from 1 species